ensembl:Y_RNA Y_RNA Y RNA
GGCUGGUCUGAACAGAGUGAAUUAUCUCAGCUGAUUGUUCACAGUCAGUUAUAGAUUGGACUUAUUCUACUCUUUCCUUUCUUCUCACUGCUGCACUUGAUAGUCUUAA